UGGCUCAGAGGGUAAAGCAUCUGCCUGUAAUGCAGGAGACCCAGGUUUGAUCCCUGG
rfam:Ovis aries breed Texel chromosome 2, whole genome shotgun sequence.